rnacentral:rRNA from 1 species
GACGAACGCUGGCGGCGUGCUUAACACAUGCAAGUCGAACGGAAAGGCCCUGCUUUUGUGGGGUGCUCGAGUGGCGAACGGGUGAGUAACACGUGAGUAACCUGCCCUUGACUUUGGGAUAACUUCAGGAAACUGGGGCUAAUACCGGAUAGGAGCUCCUGCUGCAUGGUGGGGGUUGGAAAGUUUCGGCGGUUGGGGAUGGACUCGCGGCUUAUCAGCUCGUUGGUGGGGUAGUGGCUUACCAAGGCUUUGACGGGUAGCCGGCCUGAGAGGGUGACCGGCCACAUUGGGACUGGGAUACGGCCCAGACUCCUACGGGAGGCAGCAGUGGGGAAUAUUGCACAAUGGGCGGAAGCCUGAUGCAGCAACGCCGCGUGCGGGAUGACGGCCUUCGGGUUGUAAACCGCUUUCGCCUGUGACGAAGCGUGAGUGACGGUAAUGGGGAAAGAAGCACCGGCGAACUACGU